AUGUGGAGGGGGAUAACUACUGGAAACGGUAGCUAAUACCGCAUAAUGUCUCAAGACCAAAGUGGGGGACCUUCGGGCCUCAUGCCAUCUGAUGUGCCCAGAUGGGAUUAGCUAGUAGGUGGGGUAACGGCUCACCUAGGCGACGAUCCCUAGCUGGUCUGAGAGGAUGACCAGCCACACUGGAACUGAGACACGGUCCAGACUCCUACGGGAGGCAGCAGUGGGGAAUAUUGCACAAUGGGCGCAAGCCUGAUGCAGCCAUGCCGCGUGUGUGAAGAAGGCCUUCGGGUUGUAAAGCACUUUCAGCGGGGAGGAAGGCGUUAAGGUUAAUAACCUUGGCGAUUGACGUUACCCGCAGAAGAAGCACCGGCUAACUCCGUGCCAGCAGCCGCGGUAAUACGGAGGGUGCAAGCGUUAAUCGGAAUUACUGGGCGUAUAGCGCACGCAGGCGGUCUGUCAGUCGGAUGUGAAAUCCCCGGGCUCACCUGGGAACUGCAUUCGAA
rnacentral:rRNA from 1 species